UACGUAGGGGGCAAGCGUUGUCCGGAUUUAUUGGGCGUAAAGAGCGUGUAGGCGGCCUGGUAGGUCAGUUGUGAAAACUCGAGCUCAACCUCGAGACGCCGAUUGAAACCACCAGGCUAGAGUCCGGAAGAGGAGAGUGGAAUUCCCGGUGUAGCGGUGAAAUGCGCAGAUAUCGGGAAGAACACCCGUGGCUAAGGCGGCUCUCUAGUACGGUACUGACGCUGAGACGCGAAAGCGUGGGGAGCGAACAGG
rnacentral:rRNA from 1 species